rnacentral:rRNA from 1 species
GAUGAACGCUGGCGGCGUGCCUAAUACAUGCAAGUCGAGCGAAUGGAUUAAGAGCUUGCUCUUAUGAAGUUAGCGGCGGACGGGUGGGUAACACGUGGGUAACCUGCCCAUAAGACUGGGAUAACUCCGGGAAACCGGGGCUAAUACCGGAUAACAUUUUGAACCGCAUGGUUCGAAAUUGAAAGGCGGCUUCGGCUGUCACUUAUGGAUGGACCCGCGUCGCAUUAGCUAGUUGGUGAGGUAACGGCUCACCAAGGCAACGAUGCGUAGCCGACCUGAGAGGGUGAUCGGCCACACUGGGACUGAGACACGGCCCAGACUCCUACGGGAGGCAGCAGUAGGGAAUCUUCCGCAAUGGACGAAAGUCUGACGGAGCAACGCCGCGUGAGUGAUGAAGGCUUUCGGGUCGUAAAACUCUGUUGUUAGGGAAGAACAAGUGCUAGUUGAAUAAACUGGCACCUUGACGGUACCUAACCAGAAAGCCACGGCUAACUACGUGCCAGCAGCCGCGGUAG